UACGUAGGGUGCGAGCGUUACUCGGAAUUACUGGGCGUAAAGUGUGCGCAGGCGGUUUUGCAAGCCGGAUGUGAAAUCCCCGGGCUUAACCUGGGAAUGGCAUUCGGGACUGCAAGGCUGGAGUGCGGCAGAGGAGACUGGAAUUCCUGGUGUAGCAGUGAAAUGCGUAGAUAUCAGGAGGAAUACCGAUGGCGAAGGCAGGUCUCUGGGCUGACACUGACGCUCAUGCACGAAAGCGUGGGGAGCAAACAGG
rnacentral:rRNA from 1 species